GCAUCCAACAGGCAUCGUUCAUCCGCUGGGGACCAGGUCUGAAAAAUCCGCACUGUAACAAGUCGAUCCUCAACAAGACGUUCUACUAGAAAUGUUCACAAGCGAGACUGGGGACCAACUUUACCCGCUGCCGGCUGUCUUGAAAAAAGGGUUGUUUCGGAGAGUACACAGACGGCGGGUUGUCACCGGUUGAGCUCAGCUGUACCAGCUCGUCUAAAGCUCUGUCUGCUCUUGGCCGUCGGAGCUGCGUGUUCAUGCCUUAAUAAAGGUGCCUCCGCAACUGUGGAGGAGGGGCAACACACAACAAGCAGCCAAUUGCAGAAGGACAUUCAUUCCAUCUCAGCAAAAUGAAUGAUCGUACCACAUACAGGGAGGUGAUGGAAAACUCCAAGCGCAGAGACAAACACGUGAUGAACAACUGAGUCACAGGUAAUUACAGUGCUCACGCUGACUCCUUUGAAACAUUUUUAUCUGUUUACAUUUUAGCACGCACACCAUGUCAUGGGAAUUUUUGAUCUUCAAUGUAAAAGUAAAACUGAAAACUUUAUCACUGAAUUAAUAUACGAAACAGUGAAUUAUGUCAAAACUUCUUUUCUGUAUUUUGUAACAUGCCCAGUGACAGGAACUUAAAAUGUUUAAUCCUCCUACGGAAUAUUUUA